GCGCUCAUUUCAGCAACACAUACACUAAUAUAAGAACUAUAUGGAGAAGAAUAGCACAGCCCUGCACAAGGAUGGCAUGCAGAUUUCUGAAGUAUUCCCUAUUUUU